UUGGAGGGCAAGUCUGGUGCCAGCAGCCGCGGUAAUUCCAGCUCCAAUAGCGUAUAUUAAAGUUGUUGCAGUUAAAAAGCUCGUAGUUGAAUUUCGGGAUCAAUAUGUUGGUCGUGCCUUGGUACGUACUGGCGUCAUUGGUUUCUACCUUCUGAAGAACCUCGAUGUCAUUAAUUUGGUGUCUUGGGGAAUCAGGACUGUUACUUUGAAAAAAUUAGAGUGUUUAAAGCAAGCUCACGCUUGAAUACAUUAGCAUGGAAUAAUGAAAUAGGACGUUUGAUUCUAUUUUGUUGGUUUCUAGGAUCGACGUAAUGAUUAAUAGGGAUAGUUGGGGGCAUUAGUAUUCAAUUGUCAGAGGUGAAAUUCUUGGAUUUAUUGAAGACUAACUACUGCGAAAGCAUUUGCCAAGGAUGUUUUCAUUAAUCAAGAACGAAAGUUAGGGGAUCGAAGACGAUCAGAUACCGUCGUAGUCUUAACCAUAAAGCUAUGCCGACUAGGGAUCGGAUGAUGUUAAUUUUUUAAUGACCCAUUCGGCGCCUUACGGGAAAC
rnacentral:rRNA from 1 species